UACGUAGGGUGCAAGCGUUGUCCGGAAUUAUUGGGCGUAAAGAGCUCGUAGGCGGUUUGUCGCGUCGGCUGUGAAAACUCGGGGCUCAACCCCGAGCCUGCAGUCGAUACGGGCAGACUAGAGUGCUGUAGGGGAGACUGGAAUUCCUGGUGUAGCGGUGAAAUGCGCAGAUAUCAGGAGGAACACCGGUGGCGAAGGCGGGUCUCUGGGCAGUAACUGACGCUGAGGUGCGAAAGCGUGGGGAGCGAACGGG
rnacentral:rRNA from 1 species